AAACCGCCUAGAGGUAAACGGGUGGAUCCGCAAAGUCGGCCCGCGGGAUUCAGCUCGGAAGGCUUCGUGCCCGGCCGGUGGGUAAGGGAUCUUAUCGACCCUCCUGCCACGGGAAUCGAGUCGGCCGUGUGCACUUUCCGCGGGCAGAGCGCCACGACCGGUUCUCGGGCGGUCAGAAGGCGGCGGGGAUGGUAGGCGGGCGCCUCGGCGCUCGCUGGUAUAGCCCCGCCUGUCCCGAUCCGCUCUGGGGACCGAGGAGCCGCCGUCGGCGUAGGCCGCCUCGCUCUCCUGGGAUGUUCGACUGGCAGAGACUGGGCAACCGUGUCUGCUGACCGCUUCCCGGGAUGGACGGGGUGGGCCCGCCGGCACAGGGUCGGUGGCGAAUCGGUCGGCCCUCCACCCGACCCGUCUUGAA
rnacentral:rRNA from 1 species